rnacentral:rRNA from 1 species
GACGAACGCUGGCGGCGUGCUUAACCCAUGCAAGUCGAACGGAAAGGCCCUGCUUUUGUGGGGUGCUCGAGUGGCGAACGGGUGAGUAACACGUGAGUAACCUGCCCUUGACUUUGGGAUAACUUCAGGAAACUGGGGCUAAUACCGGAUAGGAGCUCCUGCUGCAUGGUGGGGGUUGGAAAGUUUCGGCGGUUGGGGAUGGACUCGCGGCUUAUCAGCUUGUUGGUGGGGUAGUGGCUUACCAAGGCUUUGACGGGUAGCCGGCCUGAGAGGGUGACCGGCCACAUUGGGACUGAGAUACGGCCCAGACUCCUACGGGAGGCAGCAGUGGGGAAUAUUGCACAAUGGGCGGAAGCCUGAUGCAGCAACGCCGCGUGCGAGAUGACGGCCUUCGGGUUGUAAACCGCUUUCGCCUGUGACGAAGCGUGAGUGACGGUAAUGGGUAAAGAAGCACCGGCUAACUACGUGCCAGCAGCCGCGGUGAUACGUAGGGUGCGAGCGUUGUCCGGAUUUAUUGGGCGUAAAGGGCUCGUAGGUGGUUGAUCGCGUCGGAAGUGUAAUCUUGGGGCUUAACCCUGAGCGUGCUUUCGAUACGGGUUGACUUGAGGAAGGUAGGGGAGAAUGGAAUUCCUGGUGGAGCGGUGGAAUGCGCAGAUAUCAGGAGGAACACCAGUGGCGAAGGCGGUUCUCUGGGCCUUUCCUGACGCUGAGGAGCGAAAGCGUGGGGAGCGAACAGGCUUAGAUACCCUGGUAGUCCACGCUGUAAACGGUGGGUACUAGGUGUGGGGUCCAUUCCACGGGUUCCGUGCCGUAGCUAACGCUUUAAGUACCCCGCCUGGGGAGUACGGCCGCAAGGCUAAAACUCAAAGGAAUUGACGGGGCCCCGCACAAGCGGCGGAGCAUGCGGAUUAAUUCGAUGCAACGCGUAGAACCUUACCUGGGUUUGACAUGGAUCGGGAGUGCUCAGAGAUGGGUGUGCCUCUUUUGGGGUCGGUUCACAGGUGGUGCAUGGCUGUCGUCAGCUCGUGUCGUGAGAUGUUGGGUUAAGUCCCGCAACGAGCGCAACCCUUGUUCACUGUUGCCAGCACGUUAUGGUGGGGACUCAGUGGAGACCGCCGGGGUCAACUCGGAGGAAGGUGGGGAUGACGUCAAGUCAUCAUGCCCCUUAUGUCCAGGGCUUCACGCAUGCUACAAUGGCUGGUACAGAGAGUGGCGAGCCUGUGAGGGUGAGCGAAUCUCGGAAAGCCGGCCUCAGUUCGGAUUGGGGUCUGCAACUCGACCUCAUGAAGUCGGAGUCGCUAGUAAUCGCAAAUCAGCAACGCUGCGGUGAAUACGUUCCCGGGGCU